rnacentral:rRNA from 1 species
GGACAGGUGCUGCAUGGCUGUCGUCAGCUCGUGUUGUGAAAUGUUGGGUUAAGUCCCGCAACGAGCGCAACCCUUAUCCUUUGUUGCCAGCGGUCCGGCCGGGAACUCAAAGGAGACUGCCAGUGAUAAACUGGAGGAAGGUGGGAUGACGUCAAGUCAUCAUGGCCCUUACGACCAGGGCUACACACGUGCUACAAUGGCGCAUACAAAGAGAAGCGACCUCGCGAGAGCAAGCGGACCUCAUAAAGUGCGUCGUAGUCCGGAUUGGAGUCUGCAACUCGACUCCAUGAAGUCGGAAUCGCUAGUAAUCGUGGAUCAGAAUGCCACGGUGAAUACGUUCCCGGGCCUU